rnacentral:rRNA from 1 species
UGAUACUGAAGAGCUUGAAUGGACUAGAGGUAGGCGGAAUGUGACAAGUAGCGGUGAAAUGCAUAGAUAUGUCACAGAACACCGAUUGCGAAGGCAGCUUACUAUGGUUUUAUUGACGCUGAGGCACGAAAGCGCGGGGAUCAAACAGGAUUAGAUACCCUGGUAGUCCACGCCCUAAACGAUGAAUACUCGCUGUUAGCGAUACACAGUUAGCGGCUAAGCGAAAGCGUUAAGUAUUCCACCUGGGGAGUACGGUCGCAAGAUUGAAACUCAAAGGAAUUGACGGGGGCCCGCACAAGCGGAGGAGCAUGUGGUUUAAUUCGAUGAUACGCGAGGAACCUUACCCGGGCUUGAAAGUUAGUGAAUGAUUUAGAGAUAGAUCAGUGAGCAAUCACACGAAACUAGGUGCUGCAUGGCUGUCGUCAGCUCGUGCCGUGAGGUGUUGGGUUAAGUCCCGCAACGAGCGCAACCCCUAUGUUUAGUUGCCAGCACGUUAUGGUGGGGACUCUAAACAGACUGCCUGUGCAAACAGAGAGGAAGGAGGGGACGACGUCAAGUCAUCAUGGCCCUUACGUCCGGGGCUACACACGUGCUACAAUGGAUGGUACAGAGGGCAGCAAGCUGGCAACAGCAAGCCAAUCUCCAAAAGCCAUUCACAGUUCGGAUAGAGGUCUGCAACUCGACCUCUUGAAGUUGGAUUCGCUAGUAAUCGCAUAUCAGCAAUGAUGCGGUGAAUACGUUCCCGGGCCUUGUACACACCGCCCGUCAAGCCAUGGAAGUUGGGGGUACCUAAAGUAUGUAACCGCAAGGAGCU